UAAGUUAAUAAGGGCGCACGGUGGAUGCCUUGGCACUAGGAGCCGACGAAGGACGUGACAAACGACGAUAUGCCUUGGGUAGCUGUAAGUAAGCGAUGAUCCAGGGAUUUCCGAAUGGGGGAACCCAACAGGUAAUACCUGUUACCUACAUCUGUUAAGGAUGUGAGGAGGAAGACGCAGUGAACUGAAACAUCUAAGUAGCUGCAGGAAGAGAAAGCAAAAGCGAUUGCCUUAGUAGCGGCGAGCGAAACGGCAGAAGGGCAAACCGAAGAGUUUACUCUUCGGGGUUGUAGGACUGCAAUGUGGACUCAAAGAUUAUAGAAGAAUGAUUUGGGAAGAUCAGCCAAAGAGAGUAAUAGCCUCGUAUUUAAAAUAGUCUUUGUACUUAGCAGUAUCCUGAGUACGGCGGGACACGUGAAAUCCCGUCGGAAUCUGGGAGGACCAUCUCCCAACCCUAAAUACUCCCUAGUGACCGAUAGUGAACCAGUACCGUGAGGGAAAGGUGAAAAGCACCCCGGGAGGGGAGUGAAAUAGAACCUGAAACCGUGUGCCUACAACAAGUUCGAGCCCGUUAAUGGGUGAGAGCGUGCCUUUUGUAGAAUGAACCGGCGAGUUACGUUAUGAUGCGAGGUUAAGUUGAAGAGACGGAGCCGUAGGGAAACCGAGUCUGAAUAGGGCGCCUUAGUAUCAUGACGUAGACCCGAAACCAUGUGACCUACCCAUGAGCAGGUUGAAGGUGCGGUAAGACGCACUGGAGGACCGAACCAGGGCACGUUGAAAAGUGCUUGGAUGACUUGUGGGUAGCGGAGAAAUUCCAAACGAACUUGGAGAUAGCUGGUUCUCUCCGAAAUAGCUUUAGGGCUAGCGUCGACAUUAGAGAUUCUUGGAGGUAGAGCACUGUUUGGGUGAGGGGUCCAUCCCGGAUCACCAAUCUCAGAUAAACUCCGAAUGCCAAUGAAUUAUGGUCGGCAGUCAGACUGCGAGUGCUAAGAUCCGUAGUCGAAAGGGAAACAGCCCAGACCACCAGCUAAGGUCCCAAAAUAAUUGUUAAGUGGAAAAGGAUGUGGGGUUGCACAGACAACUAGGAUGUUAGCUUAGAAGCAGCUAUUCAUUCAAAGAGUGCGUAAUAGCUCACUAGUCGAGUGACCCUGCGCCGAAAAUGUACCGGGGCUAAAACAAUUUACCGAAGCUGUGGAUACCUUUAUAGGUAUGGUAGGAGAGCGUUCUAUGUGUGAUGAAGGUAUACCGUGAGGAGUGCUGGAACGCAUAGAAGUGAGAAUGCCGGUAUGAGUAGCGAAAGACAGGUGAGAAUCCUGUCCACCGUAAGACUAAGGUUUCCAGGGGAAGGCUCGUCCGCCCUGGGUUAGUCGGGACCUAAGGAGAGACCGAAAGGUGUAUCCGAUGGACAACAGGUUGAUAUUCCUGUACUAGAGUAUGUAGUGAUGGAGGGACGCAGUAGGCUAACUAAAGCAGACGAUUGGAAGAGUCUGUCUAAGCAGUGAGGUGUGAAUUGAGUCAAAUGCUUAAUUCUAUAACAUUGAGCUGUGAUGGGGAGCGAAGUUUAGUAGCGAAGUUAGUGACGUCACACUGCCAAGAAAAGCUUCUAGCGUUUAAACAUACUCUACCCGUACCGCAAACCGACACAGGUAGUCGAGGCGAGUAGCCUCAGGUGAGCGAGAGAACUCUCGUUAAGGAACUCGGCAAAAUGACCCCGUAACUUCGGGAGAAGGGGUGCUGACUUAAAGUCAGCCGCAGUGAAUAGGCCCAAGCAACUGUUUAUCAAAAACACAGCUCUCUGCUAAAUCGUAAGAUGAUGUAUAGGGGGUGACGCCUGCCCGGUGCUGGAAGGUUAAGAGGAGUGCUUAGCGUAAGCGAAGGUAUGAAUUGAAGCCCCAGUAAACGGCGGCCGUAACUAUAACGGUCCUAAGGUAGCGAAAUUCCUUGUCGGGUAAGUUCCGACCCGCACGAAAGGCGUAAUGAUUUGGGCACUGUCUCAACGAGAGACUCGGUGAAAUUUUAGUACCUGUGAAGAUGCAGGUUACCCGCGACAGGACGGAAAGACCCCAUGGAGCUUUACUGCAGUUUGAUAUUGAGUGUCUGUACCACAUGUACAGGAUAGGUAGGAGUCUAAGAGAUCGGGACGCCAGUUUCGAAGGAGACGCUGUUGGGAUACUACCCUUGUGUUAUGGCCACUCUAACCCAGAUAGGUGAUCCCUAUCGGAGACAGUGUCUGACGGGCAGUUUGACUGGGGCGGUCGCCUCCUAAAAGGUAACGGAGGCGCCCAAAGGUUCCCUCAGAAUGGUUGGAAAUCAUUCGCAGAGUGUAAAGGUAUAAGGGAGCUUGACUGCGAGAGCUACAACUCGAGCAGGGACGAAAGUCGGGCUUAGUGAUCCGGUGGUUCCGUAUGGAAGGGCCAUCGCUCAACGGAUAAAAGCUACCCUGGGGAUAACAGGCUUAUCUCCCCCAAGAGUUCACAUCGACGGGGAGGUUUGGCACCUCGAUGUCGGCUCGUCGCAUCCUGGGGCUGUAGUCGGUCCCAAGGGUUGGGCUGUUCGCCCAUUAAAGCGGCACGCGAGCUGGGUUCAGAACGUCGUGAGACAGUUCGGUCCCUAUCCGUCGCGGGCGUAGGAAAUUUGAGAGGAUCUGCUCCUAGUACGAGAGGACCAGAGUGGACUUACCGCUGGUGUACCAGUUGUCUUGCCAAAGGCAUCGCUGGGUAGCUAUGUAGGGAAGGGAUAAACGCUGAAAGCAUCUAAGUGUGAAACCCACCUCAAGAUGAGAUUUCCCAUGAUUAUAUAUCAGUAAGAGCCCUGAGAGAUGAUCAGGUAGAUAGGUUAGAAGUGGAAGUGUGGCGACACAUGUAGCGGACUAAUACUAAUAGCUCGAGGACUUAUCCA
rnacentral:rRNA from 1 species